UGGGGCUAUAUAAGCUCCACCUGGAAGACCCUUGCAGGUAUGAGCCUUUACGUCAUGGCUGCUGUUACGGCUGCUGCAUCAGCUAGGAGAGAAGGUUACGUCAUGGCUGCUGUUACGGCUGCUGCGUCAGCUAGGAGAGAAGGUUACGUCAUGGCUGCUGUUUCGGCUGCUGCGUCAGCUAGGAGAGAAGGUUACGUCAUGGCUGUAACAUGUCUGCGGUUUCUACGCUCCUCGAGUUUUCUUCCAGCUUCCUCGCUCAUGCCUGGCCUACCCUGGGUUCAGCAAACCGUAGCUGGGUCCCUGUGUUCAGCAUUCAGGGUAGAGUAAUGAACAACUCAGGCCAGGCUCUUGCAGUAUGGAAGUCACAUUGUAUCAGAAUGACACCAGCAACUGAGAAGUCAGCCCACUAUGAUGAAAGUGAUGAUGAACAUUAAGAGAGAGAGGUCCUCUAAGCCAAGUCAUCUGCAGAGUCUGAGGCAGCCCCGAGAUGCUGCCCAUCCUCGGCUUCAUUCCUGAGCAGAAGGGCCCUGGAAAAAGAAACAUGAUGUAUGAGUGAGACACAUCCCAGGCCUGGGCAGAAGUCUGUCUGCCAAACCAGGCCGC